rnacentral:piRNA from 1 species
UGAGAACUAAAGUGCUUUUGUUUAGAAUC